GAUUACAGGCCAUACCACACUGACAACCCCCGAACUCGUCUGAUCUCGGAAGCUAAGCAGAGUUGGGCUGGGUCAGUACUUGGAUGGGUGACUGCCUGGGAAUACCUGGUGCUGUAAUCA
ensembl:rRNA 5S_rRNA 5S ribosomal RNA